CGCUCCCGUUUGCACCCUCAGAUCCGGGAGCACCACCGCAAGGUCCGGAAGGAGGCCAAGAAGCGCGGCCGCAAGAAGCCCCGCAAGGACCCCGGCGUUCCCGGUGCGGCACCGUUCAAGGAAGCGCUGCUGCGGGAGGCCGAGCUGAGGAAGCAGCGGCUCGAAGAACUGAAGCAGAAGCAGAAGCUUGACAGACAGAAAGAACUCGAAAGGAGGAGGAAACUCGAUGCCAAGAGGAGUGCAGCUGCCGUCCAGGAACAAACUGAGGGAAAGGAAUCCUCCAGCAAAUCUGAAGCAAAGAAGACCAAGAAGGUGCAAGAUAAAAACGCAAAGAAAUCAUUUCACAGUGAGCUUGAGAAAGUAAGAAGCUUCACCUGUUUUUAUGUAAUUUGAUGAGAGGCAAUGAAACAACUUAGAAUCAUAGAAUGGCUUGGGUUGGAAGGGACCCCAAGGAUCAUCAAGUUC